rnacentral:tRNA from 2 species
GCCCUUGACGUGCUGGUUCGCCGUGCCCGUACACGGCCUCCGAAGCCGUGUGCGCAGGUUCGAAUCCUGCCGGGGGCA